CGACCUCAGAGCAGGCGAGACUACCCGCUGAAUUUAAGCAUAUUACUAAGCGGAGGAAAAGAAACUAACAAGGAUUCCCCCAGUAGCGGCGAGCGAACAGGGAAGAGUCCAGCACCGAACCCCGCAGGCUGCCGCCUGUCGUGGCAUGUGGUGUUUGGGAGGGUCCACUACCCCGACGCCUCGCGCCGAGCCCAAGUCCAACUUGAAUGAGGCCACGGCCCGUAGAGGGUGCCAGGCCCGUAGCGGCCGGUGCGAGCGUCGGCGGGACCUCUCCUUCGAGUCGGGUUGCUUGAGAGUGCAGCUCCAAGUGGGUGGUAAACUCCAUCUGAGACUAAAUAUGACCACGAGACCGAUAGCGAACAAGUACCGUGAGGGAAAGUUGAAAAGAACUUUGAAGAGAGAGUUCAAAAGUACGUGAAACCGUUCUGGGGUAAACGUGAGAAGUCCGAAAGGUCGAACGGGUGAGAUUCACGCCCAUCCGGCCACUGGCCUCCGCCCUCGGCAGAUGGGGCCGGCCGCCCGCGCGGAGCAAUCCGCGGCGGGGUCGUGUCCGGUUGCCUUUCCACUCGCCGCGGGGUGGGGCCGUUCCGGUGUGCGGUGGGCCGCACUUCUCCCCUAGUAGGACGUCGCGACCCGCUGGGUGCCGGCCUACGGCCCGGGUGCGCAGCCUGUCCUUCCGCGGGCCUCGGUUCGCGUCUGUUGGGCAGAGCCCCGGUGUCCUGGCUGGCUGCCCGGCGGUAUAUCUGGAGGAGUCGAUUCGCCCCUUUGGGCGCUCGGGCUCCCGGCAAGCGCGCGCGGUUCUUCCCGGAUGACGGACCUACCUGGCCCGGCCCCGGACCCGCGCCGCUGUUGGCUCGGGAUGCUCUCGGGCGGAAUAAUCGCUCCCGUCAGCGGCGCUUCAGCUUUGGACAAUUUCACGACCCGUCUUGAAACACGGACCAAGGAGUCUAACAUGUGCGCGAGUCAUUGGGCUGUACGAAACCUAAAGGCGUAAUGAAAGUGAAGGUCUCGCCUUGCGCGGGCCGAGGGAGGAUGGGGCUUCCCCGCCCUUCACGGGGCGGCGGCCUCCGCACUCCCGGGGCGUCUCGUCCUCAUUGCGAGGUGAGGCGCACCUAGAGCGUACACGUUGGGACCCGAAAGAUGGUGAACUAUGCCUGGCCAGGACGAAGUCAGGGGAAACCCUGAUGGAGGUCCGUAGCGAUUCUGACGUGCAAAUCGAUCGUCGGAGCUGGGUAUAGGGGCGAAAGACUAAUCGAACCAUCUAGUAGCUGGUUCCCUCCGAAGUUUCCCUCAGGAUAGCUGGUGCUCGUACGAGUCUCAUCCGGUAAAGCGAAUGAUUAGAGGCCUUGGGGCCGAAACGACCUCAACCUAUUCUCAAACUUUAAAUGGGUGAGAUCUCCGGCUUGCUUGAUAUGCUGAAGCCGCGAGCAAACGACUCGGAUCGGAGUGCCAAGUGGGCCACUUUUGGUAAGCAGAACUGGCGCUGUGGGAUGAACCAAACGCCGAGUUAAGGCGCCCGAAUCGACGCUCAUGGGAAACCAUGAAAGGCGUUGGUUGCUUAAGACAGCAGGACGGUGGCCAUGGAAGUCGGAAUCCGCUAAGGAGUGUGUAACAACUCACCUGCCGAAGCAACUAGCCCUGAAAAUGGAUGGCGCUGAAGCGUCGUGCCUAUACUCGGCCGUCAGUCUGGCAGUCAUGGCCGGUCCUUGCGGCCGGCCGCGAAGCCCUGACGAGUAGGAGGGUCGCGGCGGUGGGCGCAGAAGGGUCUGGGCGUGAGCCUGCCUGGAGCCGCCGUCGGUGCAGAUCUUGGUGGUAGUAGCAAAUACUCCAGCGAGGCCCUGGAGGGCUGACGCGGAGAAGGGUUUCGUGUGAACAGCCGUUGCACACGAGUCAGUCGAUCCUAAGCCCUAGGAGAAAUCCGAUGUUGAUGGGGGCCGUCAUAGCAUGAUGCGCUUUGUGCUGGCCCCCGUUGGGCGAAAGGGAAUCCGGUUCCUAUUCCGGAACCCGGCAGCGGAACCGAUACAAGUCGGGCCCCUCUUUUAGAGAUGCUCGUCGGGGUAACCCAAAAGGACCCGGAGACGCCGUCGGGAGAUCGGGGAAGAGUUUUCUUUUCUGCAUGAGCGUUCGAGUUCCCUGGAAUCCUCUAGCAGGGAGAUAGGGUUUGGAACGCGAAGAGCACCGCAGUUGCGGCGGUGUCCCGAUCUUCCCCUCGGACCUUGAAAAUCCGGGAGAGGGCCACGUGGAGGUGUCGCGCCGGUUCGUACCCAUAUCCGCAGCAGGUCUCCAAGGUGAAGAGCCUCUAGUCGAUAGAAUAAUGUAGGUAAGGGAAGUCGGCAAAUUGGAUCCGUAACUUCGGGAUAAGGAUUGGCUCUGAGGAUCGGGGCGUGUCGGGCUUGGUCGGGAAGUGGGUCAGCGCUAACGUGCCGGGCCUGGGCGAGGUGAGUGCCGUAGGGGUGCCGGUAAGUGCGGGCGUUUAGCGCGGGCGUGGUCUGCUCUCGCCGUUGGUCGGCCUCGUGCUGGCCGGCGGUGCAGGAUGCGCGCGCCUGCGCGGCGUUCGCGCCCCGGUGCUUCAACCUGCGUGCAGGAUCCGAGCUCGGUCCCGUGCCUUGGCCUCCCACGGAUCUUCCUUGCUGCGAGGCCGCGUCCGCCUUAGCGUGCUCCUCCGGGGGCGCGCGGGUGCGCGGAUUCUCUUCGGCCGCCAUUCAACGAUCAACUCAGAACUGGCACGGACUGGGGGAAUCCGACUGUCUAAUUAAAACAAAGCAUUGCGAUGGCCCUAGCGGGUGUUGACGCAAUGUGAUUUCUGCCCAGUGCUCUGAAUGUCAACGUGAAGAAAUUCAAGCAAGCGCGGGUAAACGGCGGGAGUAACUAUGACUCUCGGUCGCGUGCACGUUGCGUGCGCGGCCUCUUGGAUGGCACCCUGCUCCAGCCGCCACCUGCCAUCCCUGGUCUGCUGGACUUCUGGGCGGACCUCUUCACCAAGAAGCCCAUCUCCACCGCGGGCUUCAUUCGUGACCGCCUCCUCCCGCACUCAGAGCCUGUCGCUCUUGAGUGCAUAUGGGGGCCGGUCACACAUGAGGAGGUCGCCGCCGCGUUGCCGCCCAGGGGAUCAGCAGCCGGGCCGGACGGCCUUACCCCAGCGGAGUUGCGGCGCCUGCCGCACGAAGUCCUGGUGAAAGUGAUGAAUCUCUUCCUUCUGGCCCGCGCCCUUCCGGAACGCCUGCUUCGCGCGCGGACGUCCCUUCUCCCGAAAACGGCUGCACCAACAUCCCCCGCUGACUUUCGCCCCAUUACGGUCUGCUCGGUGUUGGCGCGGACCUUUCACAAGGUUCUCGCGUCACGCCUGAUGCGCGCAUGUGCUGUGGACGAACGUCAGCGGGCAUUCAUCCCUCGGGAUGGGAUGUUGGAAAAUACCUUCAUCUUGGACACUGCUCUCACCGACGCAGUUCGCUCCUGCCGCUCUGUCUUUGUGGCGUCGAUCGACGUAUCUAAGGCAUUCGAUUCGGUAGAUCAUGCUGCCCUUCGCCCCGUGCUGAAGGCGCAUGGCCUGCCGGAUUGCUUUGUCGAGUAUGUCGAGCGGUGCUACGAGGGCAGCACGACAGUGAUAGCGGACGGCGCCGGCGUGGGCGUGUCUGUGCAGCCAGCACGGGGCGUUCGCCAGGGCGAUCCCCUCUCCCCCCUCCUGUUCAACUUUGCGGUGGACUACGUUUUAGGCCAACUGCCCUCCCACAUCGGAGCUCGGAUCCUCGGUCGCAGAGUCAACGCUGCGGCCUUUGCAGAUGACGUCUUGCUGUUUGCAGCGACCCCGAGGGGCUUGCAGUCCCUCAUCGACGCAGCUACCGCAGCCCUCGCCCACCUGGGGCUGCAGAUCAACGCCCGGAAGUGUUUCACCCUCGCCUUAGUCGCGUCAGGGCGCGAGAAGAAGGUGAAGGUGGACAGCAAUGUCACCUUCACAGCAGGCAAUACCACCAUGCCUGCCCUGCGUGUGGGUGAAACCUUCCGGUACCUGGGGCUGCAAUUUUCCACGGCGGGUCGCUGUGUCUUCAAUCCACGUAGCCACCUGGUGGAGCAGCUUGACGUCAUCUCCCGAGCUCCGCUGAAGCCGCAACAGCGCCUCCACGCUCUCACCAACGUACUUCUCCCUGGCCUGUACCACGGGCUGGCCCUCAGCCGCACCCGGGUGGGUGCAUUGAAGUCGGCCGACGUUACCAUCCGGGCCGCCGUCAGGAGAUGGUUCCGCCUUCCGGCGGACACCCCCCUGGGAUACUUCCACGCUCCUGUUGCCCAGGGGGGCCUCGGCAUUCCAUCUUGCCGAUGGAUGGGUCCGACCCUCCGUCGGUCCCGUCUCCUGGCGCUGAAGAAGAUAGGGCCAGCCUGCGACGGUGCAGGCAUGGAUGAGGUGCAGCGUGAGAUCGAGGUGCUGGAGCGCCACCUAAUGUGGGAGGGCCACCUCCUCAAAUCGUCAACGCAGGUUGGGGAAAUGUGGGCGGCGCGCCUACACAUCGCCAUUGACGGUGCGGCACUGUCAUCUUCUGCCGCCGUCAGUGGCCAACAUCAGUGGGUCGCCGACACCAGUCGCCUGCUAUCUGGGCGUGAAUACAUCGACGCCCUCCGCGCCCGCAUCAACGCCUUCCCUACGAAGGCACGGCGCAGUCGCGGGCGGGAGGCGGACACCAGAUGCCGCGCGGGGUGCCAGGCCGUGGAGACCGCCAACCACGUACUUCAGGCUUGCUUUAGGACGCACGGGUCCCGGGUCAAGCGCCAUGACGCUGUAGUGCGUUAUGUCGCCCGUGGACUCGCGCAGAGGGGCUUCAAUGUCUCUGUGGAGCCCCACCUCCGAACACCUGAGGGCAUCCGCAAGCCUGACGUGGUGGCGGUCAAAGACGGCAUCGCCCGCGUGGUCGACGCCCAGAUAGUCGGAGACCACCUCCGGCUCGACUGGUGUCACUCCCAGAAGGCGGCCUACUACGACACGCCGUCCAUCCGGCGUGCCAUCUCCA